rnacentral:rRNA from 1 species
CUUUGAAGAGAGAGUUCAAAGGGCGUGAAACUGUAUAUAAGCAAACAGGUGGAGUUGAUGGAAGCUUUUGUAAUUCAGCUGAGACUGGCAUUGAGUCUGCACAUGUGACUUUGCAUGUGUGUGGACAGUGAUGCUGUUUUGGUGCAUGUUGCAUUAGUGUGUGUUGUAAGCAGUGAUAGUGCUAGUGUAACAGAGUGCGAGAAGGCUGUUUUUCAGUAUCUUGGUAUUCUGUGAAACUGAGUUGUUGUUACUGUGAUCAAGACUGCCCACUGCAUGAUUGGUAGUGCUGAGGUUGUGGUGGCAUCAGGGCUUUAUGCUUGCAUGUUGCAAUGAUGCUGUCUUGGCUGCAGGUGCAAUCUGAGUGGUGGUCUCUUACAACAUUUGUGUCAGCCACCCACCUGACCCGUCUUGAAACACGGACCAAGGAGUCUAACAUGUGUGCAAGUUAUUGGGUGGAAAGCCUAAAAGCACAAUGAGAGUGAAUUUGUGGGAUCCUUGCAAUGCAGGGCGCACCAUGGUCCCAUCCCAUCUGCUUGUCAGAGGGGUGGAGAUUGAGCAUACAUGUUGGGACCCGAAAGAUGGUGAACUAUGCCUGAGCAGGGCGAAGCCAGAGGAAACUCUGGUGGAGGUCCGUAGCGGUUCUGACGUGCAAAUCGAUCGUCAGACUUGGGUAUAGGGGCGAAA